GUAAAGUUCUCUGUCUCUUUUUUGUGCUUUCAGCAUCAGGAUUAUAAUGCAGAAGGCUGAGUUUGAGUGUUCCACCGAGUCCUCCUCUGCCAAAGCCCUGAAGCUACGUGAGCUUAGCCAGCACAGAGAGACCCAGCUGGCUCUUACAGCUCUCACGCUGGUGCGUCGCGCUGCGCUGACAACCGUCCUGCAGCAGGAGGAAGAACAGUACAGCAGAGAGCUCCGCCAAAAAGGCAUGGCUGUCUACCAGCAGAGAGUUUAAACACACACACACACACACACACACACACACACACACAUGUAGAUUUGAAAAAACGCUAUCACUUUUCAAUUAAAGAUUGGUCACCAGUUGGUGCAUUACCUAGAAGUGUGCUCAGGUUGACCAGGGGAAUAUGUGUCCGCAUCAAUGGACAGGAAAUGCAAUCUUCAAUCAUGCAAAUUCUGGCUGUGAGCAUUAAUUCUGUCUGUAUUUCAUUUAAACUUGGAUGUUGACCCACAUGCAAAAUAAGCACUGCUUUCAUGUGAAGAAUAUCCCUAAAAGAACUUCCGUGAAGCAUUUUCCCAAAUGAACUUCCUCAAUUUCAGCUCCAAUAAGCUGAUGGCUAAUGCAGUGUAACUUUCUAAACACUAACUAGCCUGAUUAACAUGAUAUUCACAUAAACAUGAAGUUCAUGCAUGUUUUUCUAGGGGCGCACGUCCCAUGACUGACAUCAUGAGCAGCCAGGGGCAGUGCACAGUGGCGUAACGUAGUUAAGACGGGCCCAGGUGCAGGCUAUUAUGACGGGUCCUAGUCAGUGGCGUAAGGCAGUGGUACCCAAACAUUUUACAGUCCCGUACCCCAUGUUGGUAACCACCGCCACGCCCCCUCCCCCUGCGCAGAUAUUCAGCCUACAACACUUUAAACUGUGACAUUGUCAGGGUAUGUCACUAACCGCCACCGCCACACCCCUCCCCCUGCGCAGAUAUUCAGCCUACAACACUUUAAACUGUGACAUUGUCAGGGUAUGUCACUAACCGCCGCCGCCACGCCCCCUCCCCCUGCGCAAAUAUUUCUUGGGCAAAAACCCCAGGCUACGAGCCCCAAGACCCACGGGCCCAGGUGCAGUCGCACCUACUGCACCCCCUAUAGUUACCAGUGCUUCUUUAAGCCGUAGCCUAGCACUAGUCUGCGUCACUUGAACUGUCAGAGGCAGAGACUGCCCAGUGAAUAACAGAACCAUGGCCUACGUUUUUUUUUUAUAUAUACCUACAAUGGCCCUAUCUUCAGCAUAUAAGUAAAAAACAAUUGUGAGUGAAACCUCCGGGUUUCCACCUCAGAAACAGGAUUCUGCAGGACAGACGCGCAGUACCUGUUGACAUUAAGAAGAUAAGUCAAACAUGUAGGGUGUGUCUUCCGUGAAGUCCAUAAUUCCUUACGGACAGGCCAAACCUGUGAGACUGCUGUUCUCACCUCCAGUCAUAGCACAAAUCACACUCAGACUGUGUUCCAUGUGCAUUCCUUUACAGAGCUUUCACCCUGUGACAUUCAGACUCCAAGCCAGAGGAUUGGCCAGGGACCAGGGAACAUUCAAGUAAAUCCUCUUGAAAGUUGGUGGGGAAAAUAAGUGAACAAAACUGGUUUUCCUGCUGUUGCUUGGGUUGGUAAAUCCAUCAUCCAUCCGUAUGGCUUGUGAAGCACUGACGUUUCUUAAAGAGUGCCUGCGUGAGACUCCACUCCACUGCUUCUCAUAGCAUCAAAUACAGUACAAGUACAUAGCGACCUCUUUAAAAAGUGUUCCAACUUUAUUUCGUAUUUGAUAUGAAUCCAAAUUCUUUGGAUUGUUCACAUUACUGAUGUUCAAAAUAAAACAUAAGCAUAAGUGAUUUCUUUGGCUACC
ensembl:lncRNA